ACGACGACGAUUUUGUGAUAUCUGCCGAUUAAAUCAGUGGAAGGGCAAAAACCUUCUUUCGUUUCAUCACCAGGCGGCACUCGCUUUCUUCGGCGAUGACUAUAGGCUGCUGAGAUGGAUACAAGGUCGGCGUCUCUUCUCCGGCGGCGGCGACUGGCCACCAGCACCAAACAAUCAGUAUUUCUAGAUAUGUUUCAGAGAAGUGUAUGUUUAGAUACUUUUUCAAAGAAGUGUAUAUUUAGAUACUUUUGAAAGAAGAGUAUGUUUAGAUACUUUAUCACAGAAGAGUAUCAUCGACACUCUUUUUAUAAAUUAUAAGGUUUCAUUCGAUA